rnacentral:sRNA from 1 species
AACCCCUUUGGAGUCUGAAGACCCACUCCUACGUCUCCGGCGUCUGAAGAGCGAAUGGCGCCUGCGAGCUGCCCAGUGCAUUUAUGUGAUGUCGGUGCAGCUCCCUCCGCAUGCCUCGUGCCACUCCCUCCGCCUGCCGCUCCCUCCGCCUGCUGCUCCCUUCGCAAUUAUUCUCUCAGUGUAUCGAAGAUAUCAGUCAACUAUCUUCUGGAUUGCAUUGAUGCUAUUGAGAAGGCAGCCUGCAGUCUAAAAGUCAUGGUUUUAAAGGUGGUUUGUUGCUAGUUGUUGGAUAUUGAGAACAUCAGUGUACUUGCCUCCUGGGAAUAUCGCCUAUGAAUGCAGUUGCUGGAUCAUUUGGCGGAACACACCAGGAGCCCCAGCGCAACCCUCCCCUCCAAUGUGCCUUCAUGCCGGUCCCUGUCAUCCAGC